AGAAAAGUACCACUGUAAGUCAUGAGAUGUCUGGUCUGAAUUGGAAACCCUUUGUAUAUGGCGGCCUUGCCUCUAUCGUGGCUGAGUUUGGGACUUUCCCUGUGGACCUUACCAAAACACGACUUCAGGUUCAAGGCCAAAGCAUUGAUGCCCGUUUCAAAGAGAUAAAAUAUAGAGGGAUGUUCCAUGCGCUGUUUCGCAUCUGUAAAGAGGAAGGUGUAUUGGCUCUCUAUUCAGGAAUUGCUCCUGCGUUGCUAAGACAAGCAUCAUAUGGCACCAUUAAAAUUGGGAUUUACCAAAGCUUGAAGCGCUUAUUCGUAGAACGUUUAGAAGGUCAGUAUACUCACCCUCUUUUGAGGUGAUACCAAAGGGAUUGUUGAAAUCAUGCUUAGUGAGAAAUGUUGGUCAUGAGGUGCCUGAGAAUGGAGGAGAGUCACUGCAAAGACAAAGUGAGUUUGUUUUAACUUGGAAUAAAUCUUUGCAGAGGUGAUAUAUGAAUUAGAGAGAUCUGUUCUUCAAAUUUGUCCCUUUUCCUAUCAACAAAAAAGGCACGUGAUCAUCCCAAAAGAAACAUGGAACAAUCUUGUCCAGAAAAUUAAUGCUAUCUUCAUCAAUAAGAGGACUUCAACUGUAAGGCAUUUUCUAGCUGGCAAUUUUGAUA
rnacentral:sRNA from 1 species